rfam:Triticum aestivum genome assembly, contig: Triticum_aestivum_CS42_TGACv1_scaffold_194626_3AL
AUCUUUGCACUUGGAGCAAUGACGCGGCUAGUGAGAUUUCAAGAGACGUGUUAAUUGUUGGUUGAAAACUAUUUCAAAACCCCCUCUUUGGCUCUCAUUGGUCAUUGAGAAUUUUUGGAAGGGUUCCAAACU